AUUGCGGCCUGCUUAACAUGCAGUCGAACGGCAGCGCGGGAGCAAUCCUGGCGGCGAGUGGCGAACGGGUGAGUAAUAUAUCGGAACGUGCCCAGUAGUGGGGGAUAGCCCGGCGAAAGCCGGAUUAAUACCGCAUACGACCUACGGGUGAAAGGGGGGGAUCGCAAGACCUCUCGCUAUUGGAGCGGCCGAUAUCAGAUUAGGUAGUUGGUGGGGUAAAGGCCCACCAAGCCUACGAUCUGUAGUUGGUCUGAGAGGACGACCAGCCACACUGGGACUGAGACACGGCCCAGACUCCUACGGGAGGCAGCAGUGGGGAAUUUUGGACAAUGGGGGCAACCCUGAUCCAGCAAUGCCGCGUGCAGGAAGAAGGCCUUCGGGUUGUAAACUGCUUUUGUCAGGGAAGAAAUCCCUUGGGUUAAUACCUCGGGGGGAUGACGGUACCUGAAGAAUAAGCACCGGCUAACUACGUGCCAGCAGCCGCGGUAAUACGUAGGGUGCAAGCGUUAAUCGGAAUUACUGGGCGUAAAGCGUGCGCAGGCGGCUUUGCAAGACAGGUGUGAAAUCCCCGGGCUUAACCUGGGAACUGCACUUGUGACUGCAUCGCUAGAGUACGGUAGAGGGGGAUGGAAUUCCGCGUGUAGCAGUGA
rnacentral:rRNA from 1 species